rnacentral:tRNA from 1 species
GCUUGCGAAGCUCAAUUGGUUGAGCAGCACAUUGAAGCUGUGUUGGUUGUAAGUUCAAGUCUUACCGUGGGCA